AGUCACUAAACUCCAUCCAGCCUGGCCAGGGGUGAACUUGAGGAGAGGCGGUGAAGGAUUAAAGACAGACAAGAGAAUAUAUUUGGGACCAGGUGGGUCACUGUGCCUGGGUGAGGAAACAGUGACACACACAGCCUGUAUGCUGAAGCUUUAUCUUAUAGUCAGAUCACACAAAGCAAAACAAGGGCGAGAUGUUACAAUGUUCUUGCGAAUUUUAAAUCUGCUUCUUUCCUGCUGUUGACAUUCUCUGAAUCUCU